rnacentral:lncRNA from 1 species
GCCACUUAAGAAAAAUAACUCUGAUACCAAUUAUUGGUUUUAAAAAUAGAGAUGAGUUAAGAAGAGACGCAGAUAAAUUUAUUUUUGUUUUCUGAAAAAACUACAUAUUAUUGAUCAUCAACUCCUCAUUAAACAGUGCUAUUAUUAUCAAGAAAUGGACUUUGGGCCUAACUCAACCUCAAAAGCUAGCUCAAGAGAAGAGGAUUGCCCAAGUCCAUAUAAGCAAACCACUAGUCCAUUCCCCAACCAAUGUGGGACUUUUUACCCACUCUAACACCCCCCUCACGCCCAGGCCCAACUGGCACUGGCGUGUGGACCGGGAGCCCAAAACGGGGAUGGACCUAGCUCUGAUACUAUGUCAAGAAAUGGACCUUGGGCCUAACUCAACCUCAAAAGCUAGCUCAAGAGAAGAGGAUUGCCCAAGUCUAUAUAAACAAACCACUAGUCCAUUCCCCAACCAAUGUGAGACUUUUUACCCACUCUAACAAUUACAACCAAAAAUAGAUUAAACUUAUCAUAAAAGAAAACCUAUUUUCUACCAAAAAUAAUAACUAAUUAGUUUCCUACCAAAACUAAAAAUCCUAAUUUAACUAGGAGUUGUAUGUAAAAAAAUUUGAAAAACAUAAAAAAUAAAUC